UUCUGCCUACGGGGGGCAGCAGUGGGGAAUAUUGCACAAUGGGGGAAACCCUGAUGCAGCGACGCCGCGUGAAGGACGAAGUAUUUCGGUACGUAAACUUCUAUCAGCAGGGAAGAAAAUGACGGUACCUGACCAAGAAGCCCCGGCUAACUACGUGCCAGCAGCCGCGGUAAUACGUAGGGGGCAAGCGUUAUCCGGAUUUACUGGGUGUAAAGGGAGCGUAGGCGGCCUGGCAAGCCUGAUGUGAAAUACCGGGGCCCAACCCCGGGGCUGCAUUGGGAACUGCCAGGCUGGAGUGCCGGAGG
rnacentral:rRNA from 1 species